UCCAGCAGCCAUGUCAUCCUGCAAUUCACAACUGGCUGCCACUGAAGCUCAGCAGGUGAGCCUGGUUAGUACCUGGAUGGGAGACCUCCUGGGAAAAACUAAGGUUUCUGCUGGAA
rnacentral:rRNA from 1 species